rnacentral:rRNA from 1 species
UACGAAGGGGGCUAGCGUUGUUCGGAAUUACUGGGCGUAAAGGGCGCGCAGGCGGCCCUCCAAGUCAGGCGUGAAAGCCCCGGGCUCAACCCGGGAAUAGCGCUUGAGACUGGGGGGCUUGAGUUCGGGAGAGGAGAGUGGAAUUCCCAGUGUAGAGGUGAAAUUCGUAGAUAUUGGGAAGAACACCGGUGGCGAAGGCGGCUCUCUGGACCGACACUGACGCUGAGGCGCGAAAGCGUGGGGAGCGAACAGG